AACAUCGCGCACCUGCGGGAACCUGCGGAAGGAUCAUUACAGAGUUGCAAAACUCCCUAAACCAUUGUGAACGUUACCUAAACCGUUGCUUCGGCGGGCGGCCCGGGUCCUUCCCGGCGCCCCUCGGCCCUCGCGGGCGCCCGCCGGAGGUAAACCAAACUAUUGCAUUGUAUGGCCUCUCUGAGUCUUCUGUACUGAAUAAGUCAAAACUUUUAGCAAUGGAUCUCAGAUCGGAAGAGC
rnacentral:misc_RNA from 1 species